AAAACGCAAUGCGUGUGAAUGUAUAAGGAUUGAAAACGUAAAUUAUCCCCUGCCCCUGAACGCAGCAUUUCAACGUGGACCAAACUGUAAUAGCGCAUAAAUCUCAGGGAAAAAAUUUAAAAACAAAAGGCAUACAAAAAGGGCAAAAAUCAAAUGAGGACACAAAAGCGAGGAACUAGAUGUGGAAUUUACCCAUUUGGGGUAAAAAUGCACAAAUUCACCCAUUUAGAGCGCCGUUUGAUUUGUCUCUUUUUUAACCAAAAAAAAAUUAUUAAAACUCAUUUACUGCUUAAAACAAAGGAUAUUCCAUCUUUGAAACCCCCCCUUUUCUGCUCUUCUUCGACAAAUCCGAGAGAAGCAGCUCAACCGCCAUUUUGAACCAAGCUUCGAUUUCAGAGAGGGCUUCUCCGACGCCGCGACGGUGGGUUCAGAUAUAAUGGACGUGGGGCGUGGGUCGUGCUUCACGCUCGUUGGCCGGACAUGCGAGGUGGAGUGCGUGGUGGUGGAGAACGUGGGUAGUGGAAGCAUGGAGGCAGUUGGAGGCUAGGGUCUUGGCUGAAAAAUGUUUUUGGGGUUUGUGGGUUAGGGUUAAGUAUUUGGGUUUUAAAAUUGGGUCUGUUUUUGAUCUUUGGGGUUUGUUUUUGGUUUAAAAAUUUGGGCUUUAAUGGUAAAUGGGCCUGGGCAAAAAUUGGUACCCACAAGUGUAAUUUCUAAUGUUGUAAAAGAGCCUAUUUAUAGGUUAAAUUCAUAGGUCAAAUAAUAAUAAAACAAUAUAAACUAAUCAAUGUUUGAUUGAAACAAAUAAA